CCACGCAAGAGAACGGUGGUUGAACCAACUCGCAAGUAGCCUACCAAUAAACACAUUAUUUUUCAGUGCAUUAAGUGUGGAGUCAAGUGAGGGGACUAUGUUUCAUGAAAGGGAAAGGGAAAGGGUAUUGCUGACUGAGAACAGGACAGGGGUCUGGCACUAACCCAACUAUCAGAGACUCUUUCGGCUGCUGCUGACAACUGCAUUCACACAACAACUCAUGCUGUACUGGCGGUAGGUAGCCCAGCGGCUAAGGAGUUGGACCUGUGGCAGGAGUUGGACCUGUGGCCGAAAUGUGGCCAGUUCGAAUCCUGGGCAGGGCGCUGAAAAAGAUAGGCGGAAUUGAUCUGACAACUGGAGGGCUGCUGGGUUCACGUCCUCAAAACAUUCCCCUACUGUUGGGCCCUUGAGCAAGGCCCUUAACCCCACAACAUGCUCUCCAUCCAGGGGUGCUGCACUGCAGCUUGA